GUUGCUGCAAACCUAGCAAUGUCUUCUGAGCUCUCUUGGAGACCUUUGGGAUGACUACCUCCAUAGCUGAAGACCUUUGCUUGCUCUUUGACACCACCUUGAAACUUGUUGUAGGCUUUCUUCUGCUUGGUAGCUGCACCACUUGUUGUCUUGAACUUUUCUUGAGAGACAGUAGUAUUCUUAUGUUGGCGCUCGCUGCAACUAAUGCUCCACC
rnacentral:lncRNA from 1 species